rnacentral:rRNA from 1 species
ACACAUGCAAGUCGAACGAUGAAACCGCUUCGGUGGUGGAUUAGUGGCGAACGGGUGAGUAACACGUGGGCAAUCUGCCCUUCACUCUGGGACAAGCCCUGGAAACGGGGUCUAAUACCGGAUAACACUCUGUCCCGCAUGGGACGGGGUUGAAAGCUCCGGCGGUGAAGGAUGAGCCCGCGGCCUAUCAGCUUGUUGGUGGGGUAAUGGCCUACCAAGGCGACGACGGGUAGCCGGCCUGAGAGGGCGACCGGCCACACUGGGACUGAGACACGGCCCAGACUCCUACGGGAGGCAGCAGUGGGGAAUAUUGCACAAUGGGCGAAAGCCUGAUGCAGCGACGCCGCGUGAGGGAUGACGGCCUUCGGGUUGUAAACCUCUUUCAGCAGGGAAGAAGCGAAAGUGACGGUACCUGCAGAAGAAGCGCCGGCUAACUACGUGCCAGCAGCCGCGGUAAUACGUAGGGCGCAAGCGUUGUCCGGAAUUAUUGGGCGUAAAGAGCUCGUAGGCGGCUUGUCACGUCGGAUGUGAAAGCCCGGGGCUUAACCCCGGGUCUGCAUUCGAUACGGGCUAGCUAGAGUGUGGUAGGGGAGAUCGGAAUUCCUGGUGUAGCGGUGAAAUGCGCAGAUAUCAU